rnacentral:tRNA from 1 species
CGGGAUGUAGCUCAGCUUGGUAGAGCGCUGCGUUCGGGACGCAGAGGUCGUGGGUUCGAAUCCCGCCAUCCCGACCA